ACUAGUAAAAGUGCAGCCUUGUAGGGGAUAAUAAACCUAUCUGACUAAUAAGAGGAAAGGGCCAAGUGGCAGAACUGACCCCUAACAAGUAGUUCUCUUUCCAUACACAUAAGGUAAUUGAAAUAAGCAGUGACAAGCUAAGUUUGGCAUAGUAUAAAAAGAAAAUUAAUUAAUAUUUUUUUUCUGGUACUGAUCAAUUAAAAAAAUUUAAAGUGUGU
rnacentral:lncRNA from 1 species